rnacentral:rRNA from 1 species
UACGAAGGGUGCAAGCGUUACUCGGAGUUACUGGGCGUAAAGCGUGCGUAGGUGGUUUGUUAAGUCUGAUGUGAAAGCCCUGGGCUCAACCGAGGAAUUGCCUUGGAUACUGCGGGGCUCGAGGCUGGAAGAGGGCAGUGGAAUUCCCGGUGUAGCGGUGAAAUGCGUAGAUAUCGGGAGGAACGCCAGUGGCGAAGGCGGCUGCCUGGGCCAGUUCUGACGCUGAGGCGCGAAAGCGUGGGGAGCGAACAGG